AAUUCAGUCACAAGGAGUUGUUUGAUUUCUAUAACAAGCUAGAGACUAUACAAGCACAGCUGGAUUCCCUUACAUGAUGUUUUCGAAGACUGUUUUUUUCAUCACGCUCCUGCCAUCUCAUUAUUUUGCAUUGAAGAUACAUUGCCAGCUACUGCAGCCGUGGAACUAAGUGUUGCUAAUGAAUUGUGAAUGGAAGUGAUCAUUCAUCUCCAGUUAUCUUCCCCUUUCUGUGAUUGAAACCCAGAUUUGGAGCUGAGUCAGCUUUGAGCAGGCAAGAAUGCUAAUGCUUAAGAGCCACAGCUUGUUCUCGGCUCUCUCCCUGCAUGAAUCAACAGCAGUCCCAGGAUAGGCAGAGACCAUCAGGAACUUAACCUUCACACAGAGAGAGACUCCAGAUCUCAGAGAGCAGUGCUCAAGAUUCCAAGACAGAACCCUGGGAUUUUCUACUAUGUUUUUUCAGGGAGCCAAGGCAUGGAAUCCUUCAUUAAGUGGGGAAGAACCAACAGAAUUUGUUCCACAUAUUCCUCUGACACAUCCCCAAAAGCAUGACUUCUAGCCUGAAUCCUACAAUG
rnacentral:sRNA from 1 species